UACGUAGGGUGCAAGCGUUGUCCGGAAUUGAUUGGGCGUAAAGAGCUCGUAGGCGGUUUGUCGGCGUCUGCUGUGAAACUCGGGGCUUAACGUCCGGGCCUGCAGUGGGUACGGGCAGACUAGAGUGCGGAAGGGGCAACUGGAAUUCUCGGUGUAGCGGUGAAAUGCGUAGAUAUCGGGAGGAACACCAAUGGCGAAGGCAGCUUGCUGGGCUACUCCUGACACUGAGGUACGAAAGCGUGGGAGCGAACAGG
rnacentral:rRNA from 1 species